rnacentral:rRNA from 1 species
GACGAGCCACACGAACGUUAUUCGGAAUUACUGGGCUUAAAGGGUGCGUAGGCGGUGCGGCAAGUUGGGUGUGAAAUCCCUCGGCUCAACCGAGGAACUGCGCUCAAAACUACCGUACUUGAGGAAGAUAGAGGUGAGCGGAACUUACGGUGGAGCGGUGAAAUGCGUUGAUAUCGUAAGGAACACCCGUGGCGAAAGCGGCUCACUGGGUCUUUUCUGACGCUGAUGCACGAAAGCUAGGGGAGCAAACAGG